AGUGAACGCUGGCGGUAGGCCUAACACAUGCAAGUCGAACGGCAGCACAGUAAGAGCUUGCUCUUACGGGUGGCGAGUGGCGGACGGGUGAGGAAUACAUCGGAAUCUACUUUUUCGUGGGGGAUAACGUAGGGAAACUUACGCUAAUACCGCAUACGACCUACGGGUGAAAGCAGGGGGUCUUCGGACCUUGCGCGAUUGAAUGAGCCGAUGUCGGAUUAGCUAGUUGGCGGGGUAAAGGCCCACCAAGGCGACGAUCCGUAGCUGGUCUGAGAGGAUGAUCAGCCAAACUGGAACUGAGACACGGUCCAGACUCCUACGGGAGGCAGCAGUGGGGAAUAUUGGGCAAUGGGCGCAAGCCUGAUCCAGCCAUACCGCGUGGGUGAAGAAGGCCUUCGGGUUGUAAAGCCCUUUUGUUGGGAAAGAAAAGCAGCAGGUUAAUACCCCGCUGUUCUGACGGUACCCAAAGAAUAAGCACCGGCUAACUUCGUG
rnacentral:rRNA from 1 species